rnacentral:rRNA from 1 species
GAUGAACGCUGGCGGCGUGCCUAAUACAUGCAAGUCGAGCGAAGCGGGGACGGGUGAGUAACACGUGGAUAACCUCAUAUAAGACUGGGAUAACGUCGGGAAACCGGAGAUAAACCGGCUACUUAUAGAUGGCUCCGCGCUGCAUUAGCUAUUUGGUAAGGUAACGGCUUACCAAGGCAAAGAUGCAUAGCCGACCUGAGAGGGUGAUCGGCAACACUGGAACUGAGACACGGUCCAGACUCCUACGGGAGGCAGCAGGAGGGAACUGUCCGCAAUGGGCGAAAGCCUGACGGAGCAACGCCGCGUGAGUGAUGAAGGUCGUAGGAUCGUAAAACUCUGUUAUUAGGGAAGCGGUACCUAAUCAGAAAGCCACGGCUAACUACGUGCCAGCAGCCGCGGUAAUUC